rnacentral:lncRNA from 1 species
UGGUCAAACGUCAUCCUUUCUUAUGGUGCGUCUUCUAGGAGACGUUAGUUAAGCAAGAAAAAGGUCGUUCAAUAGGGCCCCCCCAUCCACUUCUCUCUAUGUUCGCUUCCCUCUAAGCUGGCACUCUUCUUCAUUCCAUGCAACGUUCAUCCGCUCCACGGAAGGCGAGGACGGCGCAUGCUAUUUCACAUGCCAGCGACUACGAUGACGGCGCUAACUCCUGCAGCAUGAGCUGCGAGAGCACCUGCACAGCUACGACCCCAAAGUCAGUUGAUAAAUCAAAUAAACAUCUAUAAUAUUAUGUUAUAAAAUAUUAUAAUAUCAGACCGGCGCCCUAACCGACGCGGGGGGAGGGGGGCGGGUGGGUGGAGAGAGAGAGAGAGAGCGCCGAACCGUCCUCGGGCCAAAUGGCCCGAAAAACGGGAGCGAGGAAACCGGGGGGCCCUAGCCCUCCUUAGGCCGAGCCAGUCGGCCCGAAACGGCUGACCAUUUCCCCGGCCCAUUCGGGUGGCCGCAACGGCCCAUUCGAACGGGGGAUGCGGCGGACGCCUCGCCCGUUCCACCCCACGUCCUUCCUUGCUGGCUUCGGGACGGCCGGAGACCAUCCUUCGGCUAGGGGGAGGACCGAAGAGGGGAAGGAGAGAAAAUAGGGAAGGGACCUGGGGAAACCGCCGCGGCCCACCGUCCUCCGGCGUCUCCCGUCGAGCACCGCCUUCCCGCGCCGUCUCCGGCACUGCCUUCCCGGCGCCGCUCCUCCGCCGCCGUCCGGUACCGCCUCGUCACCUUCCGGAACCGAGUUCCGGCAUCCGAAACCGCCGUCCACGGUUCUCCAGCUUCCGUCCGACGACGGGAAGGAGGAGAGUUCCUCCGGCAGCCCCCAUCGGUUUCAGAACGGAACCUUGCUUCAGUGGAAAGGAGAGAUAGAGAG